GACGAACGCUGGCGGCGUGCUUAACACAUGCAAGUCGAACGGAAAGGCCCUGCUUUUGUGGGGUGCUCGAGUGGCGAACGGGUGAGUAACACGGGAGUAACCUGCCCUUGACUUUGGGAUAACUUCAGGAAACUGGGGCUAAUACCGGAUAGGAGCUCCUGCUGCAUGGUGUGGGUUGGAAAGUUUCGGCGGUUGGGGAUGGACUCGCGGCUUAUCAGCUUGUUGGUGGGGUAGUGGCUUACCAAGGCUUUGACGGGUAGCCGGCCUGAGAGGGUGACCGGCCACAUUGCGCCUGAGAUACGGCCCAGACUCCUACGGGAGGCAGCAGUGGGGAAUAUUGCACAAUGGGCGGAAGCCUGAUGCAGCAACGCCGCGUGCGGGAUGACGGCCUUCGGGUUGUAAACCGCUUUCGCCUGUGACGAAGCGUGAGUGACGGUAAUGGGUAAAGAAGCACCGGCUAACUACGUG
rnacentral:rRNA from 1 species